AAAAGUUCGUUUAGGUUUUUCU
rnacentral:miRNA from 1 species